rnacentral:misc_RNA from 1 species
GAUGAAGAACGCAGCGAAAUGCGAUACGUAAUGUGAAUUGCAGAAUUCAGUGAAUCAUCGAAUCUUUGAACGCAUAUUGCGCUCUCUGGUAUUCCGGAGAGCAUGCUUGUUUGAGUAUCAGUAAACACAUCAACUUCCAUAUCUUUUUUGAAAUGGGAGUUGGACUUGAGUGAUCCCAACGCUUUUCCUCACCGAAAAGUGGCGGGUUACUUGAAAUGCAGGUGCAGCUGGACUUUUCUCUGAGCUAUAAGCAUAUCUAUUUAGUCUGCCUAAAAAACAGAUUAUUACCUUUGCUGCAGCUAACAUAAAGGAGAUUAGUUCUUGUGCUGACUGAUGCAGGAUUCACAAAGACAGGCUUCGGCCGACUUUGUAAACUCGAUCUCAAAUCAAGUAAGACUACCCGCUGAACUUAAGCAUAUCAAUAAGCGGAGGA